rnacentral:misc_RNA from 1 species
AACGCACCUUGCGCUCCUUGGUAUUCCGAGGAGCAUGCCUGUUUGAGUGUCGUGAAAUCCUCAACCUCCCGUGCCUUUGUGUUACGGCGAGGCUUGGACUUGGGGGGUUUUCUGCUGGCCUUUGCGGGUCGGCUCCCCUUGAAUGCAUUAGCUCUUGACUUUUUCCGGUCUCGAGGCGGUUCACGGUGUGAUACACUAUCUACGCCUGGUAAUCCCGUCGCGAAGCCUGGUCGGGCUUCCAACCGUCUUCGGACAAAUCUACUUUCAUGAUCUGACCUCAAAUCAGGUAGGACUACCCGCUGAACUUAA